AUGGCCUGAGCCCCUCUGCUCCUCGCGCUGCUCGCCCAUGGCUCAGGUUCCCUGGUCCAGGCAGCGCUGACUCAGCCCCCAUCGGUCUCAGUGGAGCCAGGAAAGAACGCCCAGAUCACCUGCUCCGGUGGUGGCAGCUACUAUGGCUGGUACCAGCAGAAGGUGCCUGGCACUGCCCCUGUCACUGUGAUCUAUGAUAACAGCAAGAGACCCUCGGGCAUCCCUUCGCGAUUCUCUGGAUCCAAGUCCGGCUCCACAGCCACGUUAACCAUCACUGGGGUCCAAGCCGAGGACGAGGCCGUCUAUUACUGUGGGAGCUGGGACAGCAGUGCUGGUGCUGGCACGGUGGCAAAGAGUAAUGAAGAAGUGAUACAAAAACCUCCUGUCACCACAGGGACCUGUCAGGAGUCCCUGCUGUCCCUGUCUGAUGGUCGGGCAGGUCCCUUCCAUGGCCCCACCUAAUCUGAGCUUGGCAGCAGCAGUGCUGUUGGCUGGUACCA